GAGCGUCUCUUAAGGUCUCUCUUUUUCCAAAAAAGAAAAAUCACUUCCAGCUAGUUGAAGCCACGCUUUCUGGGCGGCAACGUGGAGGCGUCUAGUGGAACUGAUGAGCUGGUUUCCGGCGAGCUGGUGUCUGUGGCACAUGCUCUUUCUCUCCCAGCAGUCUUAUGGCAACGAUGCACCUGGAUGAAGAGCGUAUAUCAGGUUCCUGAUAUAGAACACCUGCCAGAUGUGGACCUUCCCCAAGAUAUUCCCCAUGUGAAAAACUCUGAUCAUUCUAUCCUUUUGAGAGCUAAACUGAGGUGAACAUGGGGAAAACCAAAUCUUCCAUGUGGAGCAGGUCUGCUAAGAGCUCUGUGGCCUCCCAGGGAUGGAUAGAACUCCCACAGAUCUGCAGUAUCACAGUGGGUGAGCAAUUCAUCCAGGCUGGAAAGGCCCACAUAUAUGUUUUACUUGUUGGAUACAAAACCACUGGCCAACCACACUGAAUGAGUUCCACAAGGAUACAUUAGUGACACCUGCUCCUGAUCGGAGGCCCACCUGGUGGCCCGAGGGAUUGUUGUAUUUCUUUCCAGUGUGUUGAAUACCACCGACACUGUUAUCCAGGAUUUUCUCUUUGGUGUGAUUUGGUGAGCACUUUGGUACUUAGGGUACAGUAGCAUGCUUUGCAAUAUUCCAAGGCUAAUGAUAUAUGAUAUGGGGAAAUCAAACCCACCAGGUAAACAUGGAAGUUUAUAUUAUUGGAAUUGUGGAGAGGUCUCUGAAAAUGUAAUGUCUUUUUUAUUUCACUCCCAUACAUUAUUUUUGGGACCUCUAGGUCUAUCCUCCCAAAGUGUUUUAAAGAAUUCCAUAGAGUCUCGUUAGGGUUCCCACACAUACUUGGAUAUGUCACUCAGUCAGACACUCUCAACUGCUCCUUGGUGCUUUGCUGCCCAAGUUUGCAGGUGUUCAGUUUUAUUUUUCCAUAGAGAUCAAAUAUCAGUCAAAGGACCAUGUCCUUGGAUAGAUCCAGGAUUUUCUCCAAACCCUCCUCCAGAUGAAGUAUAGAUUAUCUUCCGGUUUACAGUUAUAUAAUCAGCCUAUUCCACACAAGACUUAGGUUUCACUUUGAAAUUUUCCCCCAACUUUUACUGUGAAAUCUGUCCCUCUGAACCCACAUCUACCUACUGAACCCUAUACCUGUUGAGUCAAGUUUGAAGUCAUAUUCCCCACAAAAGCUGUUCAGACAGCUGAAAACAAGGGCCUAUACCUUCCUGGGCAUCUUCUAGCUACCCAUCCCCAGGCCUUUCUGUUCUUCCUCCUGUGACAUAGUUCAGACUACACUUAUUAUCCUGGUCAUGGCCUCAAAACUGCUCUGGCCUUUUUGUGUUACCCCUAAAAUGUGCUCAGCUCUGAGUACCAUACUUGUGCUUUGCCAUGGCAACUAAGAACCUGAGUGGGCCUGUUCUAGUUUGCUAAUGCUGCAGAAUGCAAAACACCAGAGAUGGAUAGGCUUUUAUAAAACGGGGGUUUAUUUCGCUACACAGUUACAGUCUUAAGGCCACAAAGCGUCCAAGGUAACA